rnacentral:rRNA from 1 species
GUGGCCUCAAAUCAGGUAGGAUUACCCGCUGAACUUAAGCAUAUCAAUAAGCGGAGGAAAAGAAACUAACAAGGAUUCCCCUAGUAACGGCGAGUGAAGCGGGAUGAGCUCAAAUUUGUAAUCUGGUGGACUCAGUUCAUCCGAGUUGUAAUCUAUAGAAGUGUUUUCCGCGCUGGACCGUGUCUAAGUCCCUUGGAACAGGGUGUCAGAGAGGGUGAGAAUCCCGUGCUUGAUACGACCACCAGUGCUAUGUGAUACACUUUCAACGAGUCGAGUUGUUUGGGAAUGCAGCUCAAAAUGGGUGGUAAAUUCCAUCUAAAGCUAAAUAUUGGCGAGAGACCGAUAGCGAACAAGUACCGUGAGGGAAAGAUGAAAAGCACUUUGGAAAGAGAGUUAAACAGUACGUGAAAUUGUUAAAAGGGAAACGAUUGAAGUCAGUCGUGCUCUCUGGGACUCAGCCGGUUCUUCCGGUGUACUUCCCAGUGAGCGGGUCAACAUCAGUUUAGAUCGCUGGAUAAAGGUAUUAGGAAGGUGGCUCCCUCGGGAGUGUUAUAGCCUAGUAUCGCAUACAGUGGUUUAGACUGAGGAACGCAGCUCGCCUUUAUGGCCGGGGUCGCCCACGUCCGAGCUUAGGA